rnacentral:miRNA from 1 species
UUCUCGGUGUCCUGUGCCCUCCCGG